ACUUAAAUUGAAGAGUUUGAUCAUGGCUCAGAUUGAACGCUGGCGGCAGGCCUAACACAUGCAAGUCGAGCGGAAACGGCAGUAUUGAAGCUUCGGUGGAUUUAC
rnacentral:rRNA from 1 species